GACGAACGCUGGCGGCGUGCUUAACACAUGCAAGUCGAACGGAAAGGCCCUGCUUUUGUGGGGUGCUCGAGUGGCGAACGGGUGAGUAACACGUGAGUAACCUGCCCUUGACUUUGUGAUAACUUCAGGAAACUGGGGCUAAUACCGGAUAGGAGCUCCUGCUGCAUGGUGGGGGUUGGAAAGUUUCGGCGGUUGGGGAUGGACUCGCGGCUUAUCAGCGUGUUGGUGGGGUAGUGGCUUACCAAGGCUUUGACGGGUAGCCGGCCUGAGAGGGUGACCGGCCACAUUGGGACUGAGAUACGGCCCAGACUCCUACGGGAGGCAGCAGUGGGGAAUAUUGCACAAUGGGCGGAAGCCUGAUGCAGCAACGCCGCGUGCGGGAUGACGGCCUUCGGGUUGUAAACCGCUUUCGCCUGUGACGAAGCGUGAGUGACGGUAAUGGGUAAAGAAGCACCGGCUAACUACGUG
rnacentral:rRNA from 1 species